UACGAAGGGUGCAAGCGUUACUCGGAAUUACUGGGCGUAAAGCGUGCGUAGGUGGUUUGUUAAGUCUGCUGUGAAAGCCCCGGGCUCAACCUGGGAAUGGCAGUGGAUACUGGCAAGCUAGAGUGCGGUAGAGGGGUGUGGAAUUCCCGGUGUAGCGGUGAAAUGCGCAGAUAUCAGGAGGAACACCGGUGGCGAAGGCGGGUCUCUGGGCCAUAACUGACGCUGAGGAGCGAAAGCGUGGGGAGCGAACAGG
rnacentral:rRNA from 1 species